GUCGAGCAUGGUGAUGUAUGCCUGUAGCCCCAGCUACUUGGGAGGCUGAGGCAGGAGGAUCACUUGAGCCCAGGAGGUCCAGGCUGCAGUGAACUAUGUUCAUGCCACUGCACUCCAGCCUGGGCAACAAAGUGAGAUCCUGUCUCAA
rnacentral:SRP_RNA from 1 species